CUACGGGCGGCUGCAGUGGGGAAUAUUGCACAAUGGGCGCAAGCCUGAUGCAGCCAUGCCGCGUGUAUGAAGAAGGCCUUCGGGUUGUAAAGUACUUUCAGCGGGGAGGAAGGGAGUAAAGUUAAUACCUUUGCUCAUUGACGUUACCCGCAGAAGAAGCACCGGCUAACUCCUGUGCCAGCAGCCGCGGUAAUACGGAGGGUGCAAGCGUUAAUCGGAAUUACUGGGCGUAAAGCGCACGCAGGCGGUUUGUUAAGUCAGAUGUGAAAUCCCUGGGCUCAACCUGGGAACUGCAUCUGAUACUGGCAAGCUUGAGUCUCGUAGAGGGGGGUAGAAUUCCAGGUGUAGCGGUGAAAUGCGUAGAGAUCUGGAGGAAUACCGGUGGCGAAGGCGGCCCCCUGGACGAAGACUGACGCUCAGGUGCGAAGGCGUGGGGAGCAAACAGGAUUAGAUACCCGUGUAGUC
rnacentral:rRNA from 1 species